rnacentral:rRNA from 1 species
GGGUCAGUAGGUUGGUCGUGCCACCGGUACGUACUGGUCUCACUGAUUCCUCCUUCCUGAAGAACCGUAAUGCCAUUAAUUUGGUGUUGCGGGGAAACAGGACCGUUACUUUGAAAAAAUUAGAGUGUUUAAAGCAAGCUAACGCUUGAAUACAUUAGCAUGGAAUAAUGGAAUAGGACGAUCGAUCCUAUUUUGUUGGUUUCUAGGAUUGACGUA